UUCAAUCGUGGAUUGUAAAUUUAACCCCAUGGGCCUAGGGAAGGCCCUAUAACAAUACUUUCGACACCGUGCUCACUGCUGAUUCUAAAAUGCACCACCUAGUCAAAACAGGACAUAUGUUCUUCUAGGAAUAGAUCUCUUUCCAAUAUUUCGUCAUUCCACUAUCGUCAUCACCUCAUGAUACUUUCAUUGACAUUACAGGCACACAUCCACAGAGCACUCUUCAAAUCAUCUACACAGUGGUUAUCCAACUAGGAUUAUAAAGGCACACAUUGACAUCGACCACUGUUGCAAUCAACGACACAGUCGCUAUCCAAGUAGCAUUAUAGAGCUGUCAUGCAACGCAACAACUGUGCUAUCUGCCAUCGCACAUCAACGAAGAAGUGCAGCCGCCCACAUUCCACCUCACGUCUGUCCGACCAGCUGCAAUCCUCGAGGACGCCCCACUGUACCACGAUUUCACUACGAUGUUUCACAAGAAGGAGCAGUGCGCGAGAUAGGCUAAUGAGCAGACUUCCCUCGCUUGAGUUUCGGAAGAAUGUUCCAUAUCGCGCUAAGCUGACCACUGCUGACCAUGACAGGCGUGCAUUGGACUGGUACAGGUUGGAACUGAACAUUGAAUAUGCUGGUGGUGACGCUUUCUGAUGAGAAGUUGGUCGUGACUGAUGCAGUAUCCUUGGACUUGUCAACAGCAUCGUUCAAUCAUUGCUCUCUGAGCUGCCUUGAUUCUGUACUUACCCAAAUACUAAGACCAAAUGCCUGUUGACUGUGCUUUAAGAGAGACUGGCGCCAUGCCUAGAGAUAUGACUGACCCCUAUUGGCAAAUUUGUAUGACUUUAUCUUGCCUA